rnacentral:rRNA from 1 species
CGACCCCUAAGGCGAGGCCGAAAGGCGUAGUCGAUGGGAAACAGGUUAAUAUUCCUGUACUUGGUGUUACUGCGAAGGGGGGACGGAGAAGGCUAUGUUGGCCGGGCGACGGUUGUCCCGGUUUAAGCGUGUAGGCUGGUUUUCCAGGCAAAUCCGGAAAAUCAAGGCUGAGGCGUGAUGACGAGGCACUACGGUGCUGAAGCAACAAAUGCCCUGCUUCCAGGAAAAGCCUCUAAGCAUCAGGUAACAUCAAAUCGUACCCCAAACCGACACAGGUGGUCAGGUAGAGAAUACCAAGGCGCUUGAGAGAACUCGGGUGAAGGAACUAGGCAAAAUGGUGCCGUAACUUCGGGAGAAGGCACGCUGAUAUGUAGGUGAAGUCCCUCGCGGAUGGAGCUGAAAUCAGUCGAAGAUACCAGCUGGCUGCAACUGUUUAUUAAAAACACAGCACUGUGCAAACACGAAAGUGGACGUAUACGGUGUGACGCCUGCCCGGUGCCGGAAGGUUAAUUGAUGGGGUCAGCGCAAGCGAAGCUCUUGAUCGAAGCCCCGGUAAACGGCGGCCGUAACUAUAACGGUCCUAAGGUAGCGAAAUUCCUUGUCGGGUAAGUUCCGACCUGCACGAAUGGCGUAAUGAUGGCCAGGCUGUCUCCACCCGAGACUCAGUGAAAUUGAACUCGCUGUGAAGAUGCAGUGUACCCGCGGCAAGACGGAAAGACCCCGUGAACCUUUACUAUAGCUUGACACUGAACAUUGAGCCUUGAUGUGUAGGAUAGGUGGGAGGCUUUGAAGUGUGGACGCCAGUCUGCAUGGAGCCGACCUUGAAAUACCACCCUUUAAUGUUUGAUGUUCUAACGUGGACCCGUGAUCCGGGUUGCGGACAGUGUCUGGUGGGUAGUUUGACUGGGGCGGUCUCCUCCUAAAGAGUAACGGAGGAGCACGAAGGUUGGCUAAUCCUGGUCGGACAUCAGGAGGUUAGUGCAAUGGCAUAAGCCAGCUUGACUGCGAGCGUGACGGCGCGAGCAGGUGCGAAAGCAGGUCAUAGUGAUCCGGUGGUUCUGAAUGGAAGGGCCAUCGCUCAACGGAUAAAAGGUACUCCGGGGAUAACAGGCUGAUACCGCCCAAGAGUUCAUAUCGACGGCGGUGUUUGGCACCUCGAUGUCGGCUCAUCACAUCCUGGGGCUGAAGUAGGUCCCAAGGGUAUGGCUGUUCGCCAUUUAAAGUGGUACGCGAGCUGGGUUUAGAACGUCGUGAGACAGUUCGGUCCCUAUCUGCCGUGGGCGCUGGAGAACUGAGGGGGGCUGCUCCUAGUACGAGAGGACCGGAGUGGACGCAUCACUGGUGUUCGGGUUGUCAUGCCAAUGGCACUGCCCGGUAGCUAAAUGCGGAAGAGAUAAGUGCUGAAAGCAUCUAAGCACGAAACUUGCCCCGAGAUGAGUUCUCCCUGACCCUUUAAGGGUCCUGAAGGAACGUU